AGCGAACGCUGGCGGCAGGCCUAACACAUGCAAGUCGAACGGACCCUUCGGGGUUAGUGGCGGACGGGUGAGUAACACGUGGGAACGUGCCUUUAGGUUCGGAAUAGCUCCUGGAAACGAGUGGUAAUGCCGAAUGUGCCCCUCGGGGGAAAGAUUUAUCGCCUUUAGAGCGGCCCGCGUCUGAUUAGCUAGUUGGUGAGGUAAUGGCUCACCAAGGCGACGAUCAGUAGCUGGUCUGAGAGGAUGACCAGCCACACUGGGACUGAGACACGGCCCAGACUCCUACGGGAGGCAGCAGUGGGGAAGCUUGCGCAAUGGGCGAAAGCCUGACGCAGCCAUGCCGCGUGAAUGAUGAAGGUCUUAGGAUUGUAAAAUUCUUUCACCGGGGACGAUAAUGACGGUACCCGGAGAAGAAGCCCCGGCUAACUUCGUGCCAGCCGCCGCCGUAAUAC
rnacentral:rRNA from 1 species